rnacentral:misc_RNA from 1 species
GGAUGAAGAACGUAGCGAAAUGCGAUAAGUAAUGUGAAUUGCAGAAUUUAGUGAAUCAUCGAAUCUUUGAACGCACAUUGCGCCCUUUGGUAUUCCGAGGGGCACACCUGUUCGAGCGCCGUGUAAAAUCUAAGGCCCAGCCUUGCGUUGGUGGCUACCGUCUUUCGGGCGGUACCCCCAAAACUUCCGGGCGUCCGUCUCCCAGCCGGCUAUGCGCAAAAGCACGUGCCGCGCUAGGGGGUGGGCCGCCAAUUACACAGUACGUUUGGCCUCGGAUCAGGUGGGGAUACCCGCUGAACUUAAGCAUAUCAAUAAGCGGAGGA